AGUGAACGCUGGCGGUAGGCCUAACACAUGCAAGUCGAACGGCAGCACAGUAAGAGUUUGCUCUUACGGGUGGCGAGUGGCGGACGGGUGAGGAAUACAUCGGAAUCUACUUUUUCGUGGGGGAUAACGUAGGGAAACUUACGCUAAUACCGCAUACGACCUACGGGUGAAAGCAGGGGAUCUUCGGACCUUGCGCGAUUGAAUGAGCCGAUGUCGGAUUAGCUAGUUGGCGGGGUAAAGGCCCACCAAGGCGACGAUCCGUAGCUGGUCUGAGAGGAUGAUCAGCCACACUGGAACUGAGACACGGUCCAGACUCCUACGGGAGGCAGCAGUGGGGAAUAUUGGGCAAUGGGCGCAAGCCUGAUCCAGCCAUACCGCGUGGGUGAAGAAGGCCUUCGGGUUGUAAAGCCCUUUUGUCGGGAAAGAAAAGCAGCAGGUUAAUACCCCGCUGUUCUGACGGUACCCAAAGAAUAAGCACCGGCUAACUUCGUG
rnacentral:rRNA from 1 species